ACUCCUGCGGGAGGCAGCAGUGGGGAAUCUUGCGCAAUGGGCGAAAGCCUGACGCAGCCAUGCCGCGUGAAUGAUGAAGGUCUUAGGAUUGUAAAAUUCUUUCACCGGGGACGAUAAUGACGGUACCCGGAGAAGAAGCCCCGGCUAACUUCGUGCCAGCAGCCGCGGUAAUACGAAGGGGGCUAGCGUUGCUCGGAAUUACUGGGCGUAAAGGGAGCGUAGGCGGACAUUUAAGUCAGGGGUGAAAUCCCGGGGCUCAACCUCGGAAUUGCCUUUGAUACUGGGUGUCUUGAGUAUGAGAGAGGUGUGUGGAACUCCGAGUGUAGAGGUGAAAUUCGUAGAUAUUCGGAAGAACACCAGUGGCGAAGGCGACACACUGGCUCAUUACUGACGCUGAGGCUCGAAAGCGUGGGGAGCAAACAGGAUUAGAUACCCGAGUAGUCCCAUG
rnacentral:rRNA from 1 species